rnacentral:misc_RNA from 1 species
GUUUGUGUGUAUUGGCAUGAGAGGAAAAGAAAUUGCCAUGUCCUAUUUAACCUUUUAUAUAUGAAAAUGAAAAGUAUGAAACAUUUGCAUCUCAAGUAUAUUGUUUUAUAACUAUCCUUCUGUUGAUUAGGAGCCAAAAAAAAAACCGCCAUAUUUACUUCUGAUAAAGAUCAGCACACCUCAGUAUUUAACAUUUGAUAGUUGAUGAGCCAUCAUUUGUGCUUUUGUUUCACAUUGGGAACUCAUGCAUAUGCUUCUUAGUCCUAACUUGUAAGUUACGAUUAUGUAUAUGCAUUAUAAAUACUGUUUUACAUGCUAAGUAUCCUGUUUAGUUUUAGAGAUUCUACAUUCUGUCUCCUGGAGAGCAUGCCU